CCGCCGACUCCCGCACGCCGCCCCGGCCGCUCGCGCAGUCACGCGCCGCCCGCACCCGCGCGCCCCGCGGGGUCCUCGCCGCCGCCAAGCAUCGUCGGCCCGGCUGGGGCGCAGCAGGUGGCUCUGCACGCACCGCGGGCUCCCGCAGAGCCCACAGGCCCGGCUCGAGCACUGUGUCAGUGGCAGGAAGUUGAACGGAGGCUGUGAUCAGCCCUGACUGCGGUCAUGAGAAGUUUCAGGAGUCCUGGCUGGGAUGUUGGUCCUUCCGUUAUUGCUCUGUAUUCCCGAGAAUGUCCCCCGAGGUUUCUGUGACGGACCCAAAUAUCCAGCAUGAAGCUGUCGGCGUGGGGAUGGGUUUCUAGAUGCCACAUGAGGAGGUAAUGACA